AUGGAGCGGCGAUCCACCACCCGCUUCUCGCCCUCCGAGAUUGCGAGGAUGGAGAAGUUGGUUUCAUCAGACAGAAAAGAGCAAGUCUUGGUUGAUAGUUUCUGCCAGAAGCUUGUAGAAGAAUUUAAUCGUUCUCCAGCCCGAGUAGGAAGCAGAGCUCUACAGGCUACACAGGUUCGAGGAUGGUUCCUUGAUAAGCUCCCUGCAUCAACUCCUAAACCUGCUUCCUUGCCUACUACUUCUGAAGAAAAGCCUUUAGCCUCAGAACCAGAUGCGUUAGUUUCUGAGAUAAAGACUUCAGCUUCUGAAGAAAAAGCUUUAGCUCUUGAUACAAGUAUUUCAAACAAUGAGGAUGCACUUUCUCCAGAUUUACCCAAAGAGACUACAGAUAAGGUUCCUGAAUUUGAAGACUUGCAGUUUGAGGCUAAGUCAUCAAAGGAUUCUGCAUGGUAUGACGUGGCCCUUUUCUUGGCACACAGGAAGACAAGUUUGGGAGAAGUUGUAAGGAGAAUAACUGAUGUUGAAGUCCGGGUGAGGUUUAUCGGGUAUGGGGCUGAAGAAGAUGAGUGGGUGAAUGUCAGGAAGGCUGUCCGCCAGCAAUCCAUUCCGCUGGAGUCCUCAGAAUGCCGAAGCAUUGUAAAAGGAGAUCUUGUCCUCUGUUUCAAGGAGAGCAAUGAUGAAGCACUGCACUUCGAUGCACACGUUCUGGAUGUCCAGCGGAAACAGCAUGAUAUAAGGGGAUGCAGAUGCCUCUUCCAUGUUGAAUAUGAUCAUGAUCAGAGCCAGGAGAUGGUGAACCUCAAGAGAAUCUCCCGGCGACCAAGAUACCUUUGA
rnacentral:rRNA from 1 species